GGCAGAGGCAGAGGUCGAUGUAGCGGCAGAGGCCGAGGCAGGCAAGGGGGUAAGGCUGAAAAAAGGCAAAAGCCCCCUUCGCUGGCGCACAGACAAACAAGCGAACAAACAUUCAAAUUGACUUUGCGACUCGGAGCAUUUGUCGGGUUUACAAUUUCAAAGAGCAACUCCAGAACCGAGACCUCAACCUCAACCUUUGGAGCUCAAGGACCUCCCAGGCGACAUUUGUAACUUUAGUCUAUUUGUCUGGCAAGGGAACAGAGGCAUGGGCAGGGGCUGGGGCUGCUGCUGGAGCUGGAGCACAAGGACGUUAAGAUGUUUAUGGCUUGUCAAGGAUUAUUGUUAUCACCAGCUAGCCAGGCUUGUCACAUUGAUGUUGGCUGAUGCUGUCUAUCGCUGUGGACAAGCAGAAAUCGGAUGCCUAUUUUUCGGGGCUAAUGGACUUCUUCUGGACUGACAGGAAGAAAGGUUUAUCCAUGAAGGUCAGGUGGGAGCUCGUUCACUUUGCUUAUAUCUGAAUUCCCCACUUUCUAUUGCUAAUAACAACUAUUUAAAAAAUAUAUGUACAUAGGGUAUGGGUCUCUU
rnacentral:sRNA from 1 species